GCGGGGAAAAUGAAGGAAUAUGGUAUACUCAAAAAGCUAAACACAAACGUAAAAAAUCAAGACAACAAACAGAAUCUUCUGUCUCUGAGGCUGAAGGAGAAACAGUUGUGAUGACAGAGUUUAAAUUAGUUUUGAAAACGAUCAAAGAGGGCGUGUCCUUUGGUGGUUCUGGGUUCUGGACUCUAGGAUCCGGUUCUGUCAGGACUUUCAGAGCUCUGUGGGUGGGCGGGGCCUCAGCAGGCCUGACAGGAGCUGAGGAUUAGGACUCCAUCUCCCAGCAUGCAGAGCGGCAGGCAGUGAAAUCCCUAAAGAGGAUUUGUGUGGAUCAGAGGCAACAUGCCGCUGAAGAAGGAAGAUACGGAGCGUGCUCUGCAGGCGAUGGAGGCCUGCCAGGCCGACGCUGCUGAUGGGGUCAAAGGUCGAGCUGAGAAACUGCUCAACAUCUUCCAGAGCGACCUGUUCCAGGCUCUACUAGGUAACACAGCACACAGACACUCCCAGUUUAC